CCCAGAUCAAAAGUGCUAGUCUAGCAUUUUGGAAUAAUCAAAGAGAAAACCAAAGGACUUCUGAAUUUUACAUAUUUUAUAGCUAGCUCUCUGAACGAACUGUAACAAAAAUGUGACCCCGAUAUUUAAAAUUGAAAUAAUUGCCUCCAUGGAAGGAUAAGAAUGAAGUGUCCCUGAUUAUUAACUCAUUGCAUUCCUCUCAGUGCCUUAGGCAGAGGCAGAUUCGGUUUUCGAACAGGUAAAAUGCCUGUUUUUCUGUCAGAAAAACUGUAGGGAUGUAGCAUUCAUAGCCUAUAAAUCUGUAAUUUGAGCCAUAGUACUUGAAAAGCAAAAACAGUUUUGAAAUAUACAGGGUAGCUUACAUUCCAUUUCUGUGAUAAAGUGUGCAUGACAAAGUAAUACUGAGAUCAUACUACAGCCAUUUGGGAUAAAGAUGUCCAUGGAAAGAAACCGUGGGUAUUAUUUUAAAAUAAUUGCAGAAACUGUCAUUUUCUGGAAAUAGUAGAUAUAUAUACAAAUCUAAUCACCUGACCCAUCUCAUUUUUGCGUUAUGGCUCCAGCUGAAUUUCUUGAUAGAAUUAUACCUACAUUACCACCAGCUGCCUCUUCUUAGUCUUAAGUAUAAUUCCAUUUGGGGAUUCUGUUAUUAUAUCAAAACAGAAUAAAAAUCUAGUUACAUAGUUCGAGAGUCUUCACAAUUGGGUGCUCUUUGAUUGGGCACUGUGUGAACUGCUCGUCUGAUGAAUCCUUGACCCAUCUUUAUUACCUGGUUUUAUCUUGGCAUCCUUCAACAGCACCUGCCUGGAGGUGACUGCCAUCGUUCCAGUUGUAGGCACUGUGUGUUACUAGGACUGUAAGCACAGAAGUUAUACAACCGGAAAGAGCCUCUUACAGUGAGAACUGUAGCUUGGAAGGUUACAUCCAGUCACACAGCUACUUCCUGGCAGGAUGAGAGCUCUUUCUGUUCAACCUUCAUUCCUUGCCUCACAUGCUUGUAGGUUUAGAUGCAUUCAUCCGUUCCAACUCUAUAGGGGUAUCUAUACCAAUACCGCAUUCUUGAUCCCCUGCCAGCACUCCAGGAUUCAUUAGGUAAGAGUAAGUGAGCAACACAUGAAUCAAAAGAAUGAAUGUAUUCUGACGCCCCAUUGUAAGAUAAGCUUCCUAAGAACAGGCGAUAUACAUCAAGUUUCUUUAGUCCCUUUUCAUCGUGAAAAUAGGAAGGAAGGAGGGUAUAUUCCUGAAUUUGAAGCCCUCAAAAUAUCUUAGCUGCUUUAAUUUUUCAAAAAAACAUCCUUGACAGUGGAUUUUUCUGUUCCAACUCUGCUUAGGUAGAACACCCAGAAAUCACAAACUUGGUUGCAGUUCCUCAGAGGAGUUAAUAAUUCGACUCUAAAGAAACAACAUCAAAACAGGUUCAGAAUGAUUAAAGUGCUUGAAAUCCUCUUGGGGGCUAUUCACUUGUAAUUUGUUAUUUCUUGGACUGUCAAAGGCAGCUGUUGUGAAUGGGAAAUAAUUGUUAUUUACAGCCUUGUUUGCCUUUGAUGGAGGCUUAUGUGCUGCCAAGGUUACUGGGUUUGAAAAGGAAGAAGAUUCACUUUCCCUUUUCCCUCCUCAGACAGUGGUUUGUUAAAUCUGAAGUAAAGCAAAGAAGAUUUUUAAAAAUUCUAUUAAUAAAAAGAGAAGAAUUCUAUUAAUAAAAAGCGAGACUUGGACUGUGUUCAUGUCAAGUGGAAUGAAAUACUGAUUAUGCCAUUUAAUUUGUAUAAUGUGGGCUGCCAAUGUGAAAACCUCAAUGCAAGCAGUAGAACUUUUAGCCUGAAUUAUCUGAUACUUAUGUGGAUAGUUUUUAUCCUGAAUUAGAUCUCAGAUUUUUUUUUUUUUAAAGAAAAAAAACAGAUGUUCAACAAAGAUUCUGAACAGAGUUGAGAAAUCCAUUCCACUCAUAUGGGUAGGGAUACUGGGCCCAGUUAACAAAUGUGACCUUAAUUCUCGAGAGCUGCAGAGUUCCUCUUGCCAUUGAACUUGGCUUCCUCCUCACAUAAUUUGAAGAUAUGAUAUACAUUCAAGGGUAGCUUUGUUGGCAUGUGCAGAUCCCUGGGCUUCGGCUGCACAGCGGCGAGGCCGUUAGCACACAAGAAGUUGCCUCUCUGCCAUACACAAAUUCAAUUAAAAGCUCCAGAUAAAACUUUAAUUAAAAGGUUGUAGAAACAAAUGCAUGUGUACCAGGCCUUACAACUUGCCAGACUCUGGCUCUGCUGAAUCAGAGGGAGUGAAUUCUGCAGACAAUGGGCUUCUUCUAUGAACAAUACCUGGCUGCCAGCAACACACAUUCUUGGCCAUAAUGAAAAACCUGAAAGGUUUGGAGGCUGGUGCCCUGAUACCGCUGAAGGGCCCCAGUGUCCUAAUUCUAUAAGGAGGCCUCCUGAGGCCCUACUGUGGCCCCUCCUCAGGUGCUGCAGAACACAAGUGGGAAACGUCUGAUAUAGUUCGUUCCCUCCCCCGCUCAUGGAAGAAUCCAGAUGCUGCUGGAGAGUUUAAGUGACAAGGAGCUCAUUCCCUCAAAAUUCUGUGUGCAAACACAUUAGAAUAUUAGAAAGGCCUUGCAUACACCGAUGCAGGCUUUGUCCCUAUAACUUCAAUGUGCUGGCUAUCAUCUUAGCCUUUGGACCUCGAGAAAUCCCUUGUCCACAUCAAAGCACUUCAGGAUUGUAAAAUUAGGUGUAAUGUCUUCCUUUUAUAGUCUAACUAUUCCCACUUAUUUCCAUCUCUCCAGAAAUGACCUCGUUUCCAGGCCAUUGCUGCCCUCAUCACACGCCUGGAAUUGCUCCAGGUCAUCCUGGAUGUACUAGUCCAGGUAUGGACAGACUAGUAGUGAAUACAGCAGGGAAUACUCCUUUCCUCAAUGCUCUCAAGGCUGUCCUUCUACUAGUGAUAUCUCAGAUGACACUUUUUGGUAGUGCAGUUUCACUGUUGGCACACGUUAAGCUUGCAGUCCACAGAAAACAGCUCUUCUCCGCAUGAACUGAUGAUUUUCCAGUUCCCUUAAGCCUCUAACAGGUUGGGUGUUGAAGUGAAUUUUAUAGACUCUUUGGAGAACAGUCACUGAAACACAUCAUAAUGCUUUUAGAAUGUAAAUAUUUUUUCUGCUUCUUGACUCUCGAGGAUUAGCCAUAAUGUUGGUCACCCCGUAGUAGGACUGAAAGAAGUUGAAGUGGAGCAUCUUUUUCAAUACAAUACAUGGAAGAAAACUGAGGCCCAAGAGCCAGAACAAGGAGCAAAUAUUUGCCCAGCCAGUGAUGGCCGUGUGACCACAAGUUCCAGUUUGCCUGUUGUAAUUUACUCAGAACAUAGUCAGAAAAACAUAACUAUCUAGGUUUGGACAACAAUUUAAAUGAUUGCCUUAAGUAAGGGCUCUUUAUGCUGAAUUACACUGACAGUUUCUUAUGCCAACUCUGUUCCCCUUUGGAGCCACGUUUAAUAGCGGUAAAAAGCAUUCAGAGACCUGGGAUUACAUUUUCUUCAGAGAUUCUGGCAUCAGAACACAGUCCCAUGGCAAUUUGUCUUGAAUGACUUCCACCGCUGACACCCCUCCCUCAGAAGUCCUUCUAUACAGAACACUUGGUAGACAAAAUAGUGCUGACCAAUCGGGUUCUACAAAGAGGAUCUAACAAUAUUUUUAUGGUCCUAGGAGAUGUUUGGAGUCAAGGCAAAGUCAAGUCUAAGUCAAAGUUUAAGAAGCUAGACCCGGUUGGCUCUAGUUCUUUCCUUCUGUGACCAUGUCAAAGUUGAAUGCACAGGAAAUGGUUAAGACAUUUGUUUGACAUCAGGAAAAGAGAGUUCUGCCAUCUUUUCUCAGCUCUCUCCUGUAAGCCCAAAAAUAUAUAGGUAUUUUAGGAGGCUAUUUUUUAGGAUUCAUAAAUGAUUAUCAUAUUUAUGGAGGGUAAAUGAGAUGAAAUUGUAUUCUUGGUCAUCCAGAAGUGGUUAUUUAGUGACACACAUUUCUAACUGCUAGGACCUAGUUUCUGGAAGCUGUAAAAAUAUGAAGUGAUCCAUAAAUAUACUUUGAAGACACACCGUGUGUUUGGAAGAAUUUUUUUCAUGCUUUGAUUGCCUCUUUGAGAUAAUCGCUUGAGCAAGAAACAUCUUGGUAUAUAAUGUACGACAGUGAGCCAGUCGAGGGGUUUGAAAAAAUGGUGACAGUAAUAAAUGCCAACUAUUAAUAUUAUUGUUUGGGGCAUCUGCUAAGUUGAAUUAGGCCUAAGUUCCUUCAUGAGAAUACCCGUGAACUCUCAUCAAUCAUGUGUCAUUCCCAAAGGCGACCAAUCAUAAUGGCUAUUUCUCCUUUAGGACAAUGCCAAGCUCAACGAAUCGAAGUCCUGCUAGUGUCAGUAAAACUAAGUGCUCUCAGGGGAAAGAUAUAGAGGGUCUUUUUUUUUUUUUUUUUUUGGUAGGAGCAUUAAAAACAGUCACCAAACAAUUGACUUUGAUGUGACGGCUCCCAAAGCAUCAUUUAAAAGAUUUUCUGUAAUCACAUUUAAAUUGCUCAUGAUUAAAAGAGCUUACCUAUGAAUGUCUGUAUUUUAUGACUUAAGUCAUAGAUAAACUAUAUUGUAUACAGAGUUCUCCCUGACACUUCUGAGGAGUCAUUUUAUUUGUGUGUGUGUGUGUGUAUGUGUGUGAGUACAUCUGUGAGUGAGUAUGUGUCUGUGUGUCUCUUUUGUUCCUCAUGGUAAAAUUAGGGAGUUUAUUCCCAAAACUGGAAAGAAUCUUAUCAGGGUAAUGUAGCUAAUUCUUUGACCACAUGCAGAUAUUUUUAAGACAUUCGAGACCUUUAUCUUGUUUCGAUACAUAGAAGCCUAAGCCUCGUAGACAUACAUUGGCUCAUACCCUCUUGACACAAAAAGUUCUCUACCUUAUAGACGCAUGGAGGCCUAUAUCUUAUAAAUACACGGCUCUGUACUGGAUAGACACAUAUAAGCCUACACUUUAUGGACACAUACUGGUUUAUACUUUUAAGACCCUUAGAAACCUGUGCUGUAUAGACACAUGCUGACCUAAAAGUGUGUGGGCUUACAGAGGCCUCUAUGUACCUUAGACACAUGUUCAGGACUUUAUCCCAUAUAUACAUAUAGGCCUAUAUAACCUAUCAGCACAUAUAAGCCUAUAGCUUACAGACACACAGAGGCCUCUACCUUGUAGAAAGUGUCCCCAAAUUCCUAAUGAGUAUUUUAAAGGCCCAAGCACACACCAUUGAGAUGUCCUUAUAAUCACAGACUUUUCAAACUUCAAGGUUUGUUAUCCUGAGUUCUCUUUUCUCUGCAAAUAUUUGAUAGGCAAGAUGACUCUGACCCCAGAUAAUCUGUACUAGACUCACAGAUUUGGUUCGCAGGGACAAGCCUCUAAGUGUUCUGAUUCAAGGCCAUUAUAGAUGCUCUUAGUGUAUAACCAUAACUAUAUAUUAUGUACAUAACAUGGAGAGAGCUUUUCCGCCAGAAGUCCUCUUUAGAUGUACAUUCUGUAUUUAAAAAACAUUGAUUCAUGUUAACUGAUCGUGUUUAUUCACCAAAUCAGCCUCCAAAUUUAGCACAUCAUUUUUGUGCAAUUUUUUUUCUAAGCCUCCCUCAUGCUUAUGUUCCUUUAUCUGCAGGUAUCUGCAAAUCCACCACAGUAACAAAAUGAAGUCUCUUAAGAUAUUCUAAAGCAUUCUGAUAUCUUUGCAGUUAAUACAUUUCAUUUAAAACAUCACCAAGGCAGGUUGUUGUCAGCUUGUAAUUUAUUUAAAUUGCUAUUGGCUUCAUUUCCAUUUCUCUCGUCUGCAGCUUAACAUUUCAGAGACAGAAAGUGAAUCUGAAUUCAGAAAAUGCAACAUUUUUUUUUUUAAAAUAUGUGUUAAUUCUUGCUAGGCCUGUAAGGAACAACUGGUUUUAAAAAUUAAAAAUAAAUAAAGAUACCUAAUGUUAAGCCGGAUACCUUCCUUUCAAAAUGGGAAAAUGAACAUUUUCAGAAAGGCUGUCAUGGCUAUUGGAAGCUGCCAAGCAAGCUGGUGCAGGCUGGGUCUAGUAUGGAGUAUUGAUUCAGAUGUCAUAAUUAAAUGAGCCUGAGACUGAGCUCAGAUAGAAACUGUUUGGAAAGAUGGAUAAAGAGUCAGGAAGAGAUAUGAGUUAGAAUCUCUUUCCCUAAUAGUACUUGUCAGAAUUUCAAGGGUGAGAGGUUCUAUCAAUUGGAACAAGAACGGUCUGGGAGUGAUAGGGUUUGGCACCUUAUCAAUUCUCUCCCUUCUAAGAGAGCAUGUGUGUGACAUCUGUGAUUUAUUUCCGAUCUACCAGUCUGCUGAGCAUGAGUCUUGGAUUUGCUGCCAAAUUACUGUACUCGUCUCCAUGCUAAAAGGCUGCUGUCACAUUUAAGACUGUCAGAAAUUCAGAUCCUUCCCAUGGGUGAUCCCAGAGAACACAUAUAAGAGGGACUUCCCUUUGCUUAUGGAGAGCAACGUGUGGAAGUUAUUUUGUUGCAGAUCAAUUUAUAUAUACCAAAUUGCUCUCCCCCCCCCCCGUUUCUGUAUCUAUGAUUAAUACCAUGGUAUAGCCAUAUCCAUGGAAAUGUAAAAUAUAAAAACAAAUUGUCUCCUGAUCUCACCACCCUAACACAAAUGCUACUUCCCGAGUCUCUGCCCAUAUGCACCCUAUAAUAUUAACUUUCACACUCAGAAAAAAAAUUUCCUGAUUAUCAGCAAUUUAUUUCCAUCAGCAGACAUUGCCCAAAGCAGCGAGGAGGAGCUAGUCUGGGUUGACUAUGAACAGGGAGGUGGGUUCUAAUACCUGUGACACAAGAGUGGGAUGAAAUGAAUGCCCUUGCAACCACCUGUGAAAGAGACACACUUUCCUUUAUCUUUUGUGCAGCCCUUGGGUGGUCUUCUCAUUCACCAGCCAACUUCGUACAGUUGCGAUCCUCUCAUCUUCACCUCCUUACCGUCGGGAGAGAGGAGCAGGCAAUGUGAGCACAGAGGACAGUAGUGAUAGUUGAUAUUUUUCCUUCAAUGCCAUCUCCUCGUAGGCCUGUAGCAAGGAGGGCUAUCAUUUAACGUGGACACGGCAGUUCCUCUGGCCAUUUGAAUCAUGACCCUCUGACCUGGGAGCAGGCCAGCAUCUCUAGGAUUUAUGGGAAAGACCUUACUCUUGCAAAAUGGCAGUGCUCACCAAUCAUUUGCUCACCAUCUCCCUCUUUCGGCUUUCUCCUCGUUAUUAGAAGAGUCAUUCUUUUAAGCCACUCAGUUGCCUCGGGAACUAUAGAGUGGACCUAGCAAUAAUUCUCUAUGACGCAUAUCUCUACAUAAUCUUUUUCUGAUCAUUUGACCUAACCUGUGCCCUCACCCCCAGCAAAAUUUACAAAUGUCUCUUAUUCUUAAGGCUCUGCAAUUAAUUUUCUUAACUAAGAAUAGCAAACACACUAGAAAAUCACAGAUUGUAUUUACAUUCUGAGAAGCUAACUUCCUGCCCAUUUACAAUAUGUGGCGGACAGAUAUUUGAGAAUGAUCAAAAAUAUUAUAGGAAUUGUUUUGUAAGUGUUGGGAUGUGCUUACCUUUUUAGAAAUCUAAAACUGGAGUUCCCGUUGUGGUGCAUCAGGUUAAGAACCUGACAUAGUGUCCAUGAGGAUGAGGGUUCCAUCCUUGGCCUUGAUCAGUGGGUUAAAGGAUCUGGCAUUGCCAUAAGCUGGGGCAUAGGUUGCAGGAGUGGUCUGGAUCCGGUGUUGCUGUGGCUGUGGCAUAGGCCAACAGCUGUAGCUCUGAUUCCACCCCUAGUCUGGGAACUUCCAUAUGCC
rnacentral:lncRNA from 1 species